rnacentral:rRNA from 1 species
GCUGUGAAGAUGCAGUGUACCCGCGGCAAGACGGAAAGACCCCGUGAACCUUUACUAUAGCUUGACACUGAACAUUGAGCCUUGAUGUGUAGGAUAGGUGGGAGGCUUUGAAGUGUGGACGCCAGUCUGCAUGGAGCCGACCUUGAAAUACCACCCUUUAAUGUUUGAUGUUCUAACGUGGACCCGUAAUCCGGGUUGCGGACAGUGUCUGGUGGGUAGUUUGACUGGGGCGGUCUCCUCCUAAAGAGUAACGGAGGAGCACGAAGGUUGGCUAAUCCUGGUCGGACAUCAGGAGGUUAGUGCAAUGGCAUAAGCCAGCUUGACUGCGAGCGUGACGGCGCGAGCAGGUGCGAAAGCAGGUCAUAGUGAUCCGGUGGUUCUGAAUGGAAGGGCCAUCGCUCAACGGAUAAAAGGUACUCCGGGGAUAACAGGCUGAUACCGCCCAAGAGUUCAUAUCGACGGCGGUGUUUGGCACCUCGAUGUCGGCUCAUCACAUCCUGGGGCUGAAGUAGGUCCCAAGGGUAUGGCUGUUCGCCAUUUAAAGUGGUACGCGAGCUGGGUUUAGAACGUCGUGAGACAGUUCGGUCCCUAUCUGCCGUGGGCGCUGGAGAACUGAGGGGGGCUGCUCCUAGUACGAGAGGACCGGAGUGGACGCAUCACUGGUGUUCGGGUUGUCAUGCCAAUGGCACUGCCCGGUAGCUAAAUGCGGAAGAGAUAAGUGCUGAAAGCAUCUAAGCACGAAACUUGCCCCGA